rnacentral:rRNA from 1 species
GACGAACGCUGGCGGCGUGCUUAACACAUGCAAGUCGAACGGAAAUUCCCUGCUUUUGUGGGGUUCUCGAGUGGCGAACGGGUGAGUAACACGUGAGUAACCUGCCCUUGACUUUGGGAUAACUUCAGGAAACUGGUGCUAAUACCGGAUAGGUGCUCCUGCUGCAUGGUGGGGGUUGGAACGUUUCGGCGGUUGGGGAUGGACUCGCGGCUUAUCAGCUUGUUGGUGGGGUAGUGGCUUACCAAGGCUUUGACGGGUAGCCGGCCUGAGAGGGUGACCGGCCACAUUGGGACUGAGAUACGGCCCAGACUCCUACGGGAGGCAGCAGUGGGGAAUAUUGCACAAUGGGCGGAAGCCUGAUGCAGCAACGCCGCGUGCGGGAUGACGGCCUUCGGGUUGUAAACCGCUUUCGCCUGUGACGAAGCGUGAGUGACGGUAAUGGGUAAAGAAGCACCGGCUAACUACGUG